GAUGAACGCUGGCGGCGUGCCUAAUACAUGCAAGUAGAACGCUGAAGGAGGAGCUUGCUCUUCUGGAUGAGUUGCGAACGGGUGAGUAACGCGUAGGUAACCUGCCUGGUAGCGGGGGAUAACUAUUGGAAACGAUAGCUAAUACCGCAUGACAACAGUUAUUGCAUGAUAACUGUUUAAAAGGGGCAACUGCUCCACUACCAGAUGGACCUGCGUUGUAUUAGCUAGUUGGUGAGGUAACGGCUCACCAAGGCGACGAUACAUAGCCGACCUGAGAGGGUGAUCGGCCACCCUGGGACUGAGACACGGCCCAGACUCCUACGGGAGGCAGCAGUAGGGAAACUGCGGCAAUGGACGGAAGUCUGACCGAGCAACGCCGCGUGAGUGAAGAAGGUUUUCGGAUCGUAAAGCUCUGUUGUAAGAGAAGAACGAGUGUGAGAGUGGAAAGUUCACACUGUGACGGUAUCUGACCAGAAAGGGACGGCUAACUACGUG
rnacentral:rRNA from 1 species